rnacentral:ncRNA from 1 species
GCGAUGAAGCGGGAGGUUGCGGCUUUUCAGCCGGUUUUUCCGUGGAGUAUGUCCGAUUUUAAACCGGGCGA